rnacentral:sRNA from 1 species
GCCGGGCACAGUGGUGCAUAUCUGUAAUCCCAGCUGCUUGGAAGGCUGAGGCAGGAGGCUCACAAGUUCGUUGCCAGCCUCAGCAAAAGCAAGGCGCUAAGCAACUCAGUGAGACUCUGUCUCUA